AUUGAACGCUGGCGGCAUGCCUAACACAUGCAAGUCGAACGGCAGCGGUAUCUAGCUUGCUAGAUAGCCGGCGAGUGGCGAACGGGUGAGUAAUGCGUAGGAAUAUACCUUAAAGAGGGGGAUAACCUGGGGAAACUCAGGCUAAUACCGCGUACGCUCUGAGGAGUAAAGCUGGGGACCUUCGGGCCUGGCGCUUUAAGAAUAGCCUGCGUCCGAUUAGCUAGUUGGUGAGGUAAAGGCUCACCAAGGCGACGAUCCUUAGCUGGUUUGAGAGAAUGACCAGCCACACUGGGACUGAGACACGGCCCAGACUCCUACGGGAGGCAGCAGUGGGGAAUAUUGGACAAUGGGCGCAAGCCUGAUCCAGCCAUGCCGCGUGAGUGACGAAGGUCUUCGGAUUGUAAAGCUCUUUUGGCGGGGACGAUAAUGACGGUACCCGCAGAAUAAGCCCCGGCUAACUUCGUGCCAGCAGCCGCGGUAAAGCGUAUGU
rnacentral:rRNA from 1 species